GAGUUUGAUCCUGGCUCAGGAUGAACGCUAGCGGCAGGCCUAAUACAUGCAAGUCGAGGGGCAGCGCGGGUAGCAAUACCUGGCGGCGACCGGCGCACGGGUGCGUAACACGUAUACAAUCUGCCUUUAACAGGGGGAUAGCCCGGAGAAAUCCGGAUUAAUACCCCAUAAUAUAUUGAGUGGCAUCACUUGAUAUUGAAAGCUCCGGCGGUUAGAGAUGAGUAUGCGCCUGAUUAGUUAGUUGGUGAGGUAACGGCUCACCAAGACUUCGAUCAGUAGGGGAUCUGAGAGGACUACCCCCCACACGGAUACUGAGACACGGAUCCGACUCCUACGGGAGGCAGCAGUAAGGAAUAUUGGACAAUGCCCGCAAGGGUGAUCCAGCCAUGCCGCGUGCAGGAAGACGGCCCUAUGGGUUGUAAACUGCUUUUUACACCGGAGAAAACCCCCUUCUCGUGAGGAGGGCUGAUAGUAUGGUGAGAAUAAGCAUCGGCUAACUU
rnacentral:rRNA from 1 species